GGGGUGUUUGCCGAGGUCUUCAAAACCUUCAGGGGCUUGCGUGCCAAGCUCGGUGGGUUCGAUUCCCACACGGUCCCGCCA
rnacentral:tRNA from 1 species